CGGCGAACGGGUGAGUAACACGUGGGCAACCUGCCCCUAACACUGGGAUAACCUCGGGAAACCGGGGCUAAUACCGGAUACGACCUCGAGCGGCAUCUCUUGAGGUGGAAAGCUCCGACGGUUAGGGAUGGGCCCGCGGCCUAUCAGCUUGUUGGUGGGGUAAUGGCCUACCAAGGCGACGACGGGUAGCCGGCCUGAGAGGGCGACCGGCCACACUGGGACUGAGACACGGCCCAG
rnacentral:rRNA from 1 species